GUGAAAAUUAAAAAAAAUUAUUUGGAGAAAUUUUGGUUUGCUGGAGCAGAAGGGGGACAAAUCAGUAAAUGGUCCCAGUGGAUAAGAGUUAUGAUGACAAUGGUGAUAUUCGGUGAUGAAAAACAAAAAGGAAGACUGGUGUUCUCAACCUGGAGAAUGGAAACUUAAAGUUUUAUUUACGAGACCCACAUAAUCGAGAAACCGGCAGCCGCAUUCCUCUGUACGGACACAGUACUUGGAUAAAGACAAUUUGUGAGAAGUGGGUAGAUAAAAGAGGAAGGACGAAAGAUAAGAGCAGUAGAUGAGACAAGAAUGGAACUGAAGAGAGCUCCAAGCUAGAAGUUAAGACAAGAACUUUCGAAGAACUAUUAUAUAUAAGUCGUUCAUUACUCUUGCGCUUCUGGAUAUAUCUUAUUUUGUAACUAAAAGUCUGAUGAACUCUCUUUACUUUUAUUUUUAAUGGAAAAUUUUACUUUUAAGUUUUCUUGCUAGGAUUUUAAAGAUUAAAAUGUUUUAUUGAAAUUCUUUGAAGAAGUGAAGCAUAAAAGUCGAGGAAAACAGAACUUGAAUGCGGCAGAUCAAAGAAAGAGAUAAAAUUUAAUGUUGAAUUUAACAGAAAAUGAUCUUUGUUAAAAAUUCAAUUUUAAAAUCAACAAAAAAAUAAAUUAUGUUAAAAUAGUAUGAAUAAAUUG